CGAACGGGUGAGUAAAGCAUCGGAACGUAUCUCGUAGUUGGGGGAUAACCUAGCGAAAGCUAGGCUAAUACCGCAUACGCCCUGUGGGGGAAAGUGGGGGACUCGCAAGGAGCCUCACGCUAUUGGAGCGGCCGAUGUCGGAUUAGCUAGUUGGUGAGGUAAAGGCUUACCAAAGCGACGAUCCGUAGCUGGUUUGAGAGAACGACCAGCCACACUGGGACUGAGACACGGCCCAGACUCCUACGGGAGGCAGCAGUAAGGAAUAUUGGUCAAUGGGCGGAAGCCUGAACCAGCCCAUGCCGCGUGCAGGAAGACGGCCCUACGGGUUGUAAACUGCUUUUGUACCGGAAUAAACCCCCGAACGUGUUCGGGCCUGAAUGUACGGUAAGAAUAAGGAUCGGCUAACUCCGUGCCAGAAGCCGCGGUAAUUACGGAGGAUCCAAAGCGUUAUCCGGAUUUAUUGGG
rnacentral:rRNA from 1 species